UACGUAGGGUGCAAGCGUUGUCCGGAAUUAUUGGGCGUAAAGAGCUCGUAGGCGGUCUGUCGCGUCGGCUGUGAAAACUCGGGGCUCAACCCCGAGCCUGCAGUCGAUACGGGCAGACUAGAGUGCGGUAGGGGAGACUGGAAUUCCUGGUGUAGCGGUGAAAUGCGCAGAUAUCAGGAGGAACACCGGUGGCGAAGGCGGGUCUCUGGGCCGAUAUUGACGCUGAGGAGCGAAAGCAUGGGGAGCGAACAGG
rnacentral:rRNA from 1 species